AUUGAACGCUGGCGGCAGGCCUAACACAUGCAAGUCGAGCGGAGCGGCGAACGGGUGAGUAAUGCCUAGGAAUCUGCCUGGUAGUGGGGGAUAACGCCCGGUAACGGGCGCUAAUACUGCAGAAUUGCAGAUGAGCCUAGGGCGGAUCAGCUUGUUGGUGGGGCAAAGGACUACCAAGGUGACGAUCCGUAACUGGUCUGAGAGGAUGAUGAGUAACACUGGAACUGAGACACGGUCCAGACUCCUACGGGAGGCAGCAGUGGGGAAUAUUGGACAAUGGGCGAAAGCCUGAUCCAGCCAUGCCGCGUGUGUGAAGAAGGUCUUCGGAUUGUAAAGCACUUUAAGUUGGGAAGCGUUACCAACAAAGAAAGCACCGGCUAACUACGUGCCAGCAGCCGCGGUAAUAC
rnacentral:rRNA from 1 species